UAGUGAAAUACAAAUCGGACUAGGAUAUAGCUGGUUUUCUGCGAAAAUUGUUUUGGCAAAUUGUUUAUUCCUCUCAAAAAUAGUAGGUAUAGCACUGAAUAUCUCGAGGGAGUAUGAAAAUAUUUAUCUCAGAUAUUUAAUCUCAAAAUAACUAUUUCUUAAAAUAAAUAAUCAGACUAUGUGCGAUAAGGUAGAUAGUCGAAAGGGAAACAGCCCAGAACAGUAAUUAAAGCUCCCCAAUUAAUAUUAAGUGAAAUA
rnacentral:rRNA from 1 species